rnacentral:rRNA from 1 species
GACGAACGCUGGCGGCGUGCUUAACACAUGCAAGUCGAGCGGAAAGGCCCUUCGGGGUACUCGAGCGGCGAACGGGUGAGUAACACGUGAGUAACCUGCCCCAGACUUUGGGAUAACCCUCGGAAACGGGGGCUAAUACCGGAUACGACACAGCUUCGCAUGGGGUCUGUGUGGAAAGUUUUUCGGUUUGGGAUGGGCUCGCGGCCUAUCAGCUUGUUGGCGGGGUGAUGGCCUACCAAGGCGACGACGGGUAGCCGGCCUGAGAGGGCGACCGGCCACACUGGGACUGAGACACGGCCCAGACUCCUACGGGAGGCAGCAGUGGGGAAUAUUGCACAAUGGGCGGAAGCCUGAUGCAGCGACGCCGCGUGAGGGAUGACGGCCUUCGGGUUGUAAACCUCUUUCAGCAGGGACGAAGCGUAAGUGACGGUACCUGCAGAAGAAGCGCCGGCCAACUACGUG